CUGUGAUCAAAAUAGUGAUAUGGUAAUUAAUGAGUAAACCUUGCCUAAAGGCUUCCACCUCAGUCACACACAAGCCUUGCCCAAAGCUAAAAUAAUAAGCUAGUGGGGGAACACUUUCAGUUGACCACGUAAGCCUUGUUUAAAGUUUAUGAUCUAUCUCUAGACCCUAUGCUGUCCACAAACCUUGCCAUAGGUUUACCCUCCAACAACAAGAUCGGCAUAAGCCAUGCCUAAGGCUAUUGUGUGAAAUAAAA
rnacentral:lncRNA from 1 species